UAGACGGGAUGUUUGCAUGUAACUCGAAUUUUCUAGACGAAAUAUUGCUACCAUUAAUAUUUUUGUUCACUUGUAACAACAUACUUAAGUACCAUACGCUAAGGGGGCCGUAUUCGCUUCAAACCCACAAUCUGCAUAUUUGACCUUGACUUUGGAGAAUGUCGUCUGCAGGAUUGAAGUUGAAACUUGAAAGUUAACUCGUUAGGGUAUACUGCGUUGAGAAUUGGGAUCGAAGAUCAAACGAUUUCGCUCACUUACUUUUCUUUCCCCGUACAGCAACAAACAAGUACGUGUUAAGUGGAAGAACCAAGAUGGCAAUGAGUCAUGCAGUACAUGCACUAAGAGAGUGAGAGCAUAAGCCUUGGGCCCUUGGCAUAUAAGGAAUUCAAUAUUACAUACAUUCAUCGAGUAGGAAUUUUUAAAGACUCCAUCAGUCCCUUGUGUAUUACUGGUAUAACAAAGAUACGUCAAACACUUUUGCCAACAAUCAAACUCAUCUAUAAUAGGUAAAUUUAUAGUCCAUUUCAAACAUUUUAGGUAACCAAAACUAUCUUGACUGUCUCUAAUUAUGAAUGGAAAUUUUAGGA